CAGUCGCCGCGGUAAUACGUAGGUGGCAAGCGUUGUCCGGAAUUAUUGGGCGUAAAGCGCGCGCAGGUGGUUUAAUAAGUCUGAUGUGAAAGCCCACGGCUCAACCGUGGAGGGUCAUUGGAAACUGAUAAACUUGAGUGCAGGAGAGAAGAGUGGAAUUCCUAGUGUAGCGGUGAAAUGCGUAGAGAUUAGGAGGAACACCAGUGGCGAAGGCGGCUUUUUGGCCUGUAACUGACACUGAGGCGCGAAAGCGUGGGGAGCAAACAGGAUUAGAUACCCCAGUAGUCCCUGUCUCUUAUAC
rnacentral:rRNA from 1 species